GCGCGGGAUCGGUUCUAAAGUAGUCAUGGCGGCUUUCCGCGACAUGGAGGAGGUGAGCCAGGGGCUGCUGAGCCUGCUGGGUGCCAAUCGCGCGGAGGCGCAGCAACGGCGGCUGCUGGGGCGCCACGAGCAGAUGGUGGAGCGGCUGCUGGAGACGCAAGACGGCGCCGAGAAGUGGCUGCGAGAGAUCCUCACUGCAGAGAAGGAGGUGGCCCAGAGCCUCCUGGAUGCGAAGGAGCAGGCACACCAGGGUGGUGUCGAGCUGCAGCAGCUUGAAGCUGAGCUUCAGAGGGCCAGCGAGGAGGAUGCCCGUCUGAAGGCCAACCUCCUUCAGCUCACAAGAGAACUGGAGGAGCUCAAGGAGAUUGAGGCGGAUCUUGAAAGACAAGAGAAGGAAGUCGACGAGGACACAACAGUCACCAUCCCUUCAGCUGUGUAUGUGGCUCAACUCUAUCGCCGAAUUAGUAAAAUCGAGUGGGAUUAUGAGUGUGAGCCUGGGAUGAUCAAAGGCAUCCACCACGGCCCCAGCGUUGCCCAGCCCAUCCACCUGGACAGCACCCAGCUCUCUAAGAAGUUCAUCAGCGACUAUCUCUGGAAUCUGGUGGACACGGAGUGGUAGCCCGGAGCCUCUGGGACUGCAUCACACAGCCCCACACAGUGGGAAUCAGCCAUGGUAAUCAAAGAGAACCAACUUAACCUUGCCAGGGCUGCAACUUCACAUCUAUAACAGCGCAUGCCAAUGACACCGUGGUAGCCAAUGACAGAUUCCGCGUCUUCAUCUGUGAUUCAAGUGUGGCCCCUUUUUUAUCCGUUCAGUCUCUGAGUGCUGCUGUGUGCCCAAGGUGAAGACACAAGGUGAAGGUGACAAGGAUCUCUGCAGCCGACGGAGGAGUCAGAAGUGAUCAGAUGCCACCCUCAGGCUAGAGAGUAUCCAGAGUGCUGUGGGGCCUCGGCCAGGAAGGGAACCUGCCCCAGAGGAUGGGGGUGGUGUUCAUGCUGGGACUAGAAAGGAAGAGCCAGUCACAAAGAGGUUACAUAGGGGCCCAUCCCUGGCUCCAGGGUGGACGGGUGAACUGUGUAUUGGAGACCACUGGUUGCCUCCCUAAUAUUCAUUCACCACUUGGUAAGAAACUCCUUUUUACUGCCCAAGUCAAAACACAACUUUCCCUAGUCUCCUUUGCAGUUAAAUUCAGGACAAUGAAAUGUAAAAAGAAGUGUUGUAUGUGACUUCUCCUUAAAAGGCAAGGGAGUAUCCCCUUUCCCUUCCCCUCUAUUUUCUGGAAUUUGGGUGUGAUGGCUGGAGCCCUGGCAGCUCUAUUGCCACAUGAGGAGGGUUGAAAUUCUCUAGAGAUGAGAAGAGCCUGGUUCUCUGAUGAUGGUGGAGCUGGAUAUCAAUACUAAACUUCUUGGGUGCAGGGGC